CUCCCCGUGAAUAGCACUCACCACACGGAUCCGUACGCGCCGGAGCCCACCGGGGACAGGCUCUGGUACCUCUCCGGCACUUCCCAUAUCGUCUUGUUGACCUCCUGCAGACCAAGGACCGACUGCUACCCAACUGUAGCAACCCCGUCGUACAAUAUCGCGAGAAGAACGAGCCCGGACAGCUGAGCGACGAGAAGAGAACUGAAAGUGCCGCAUUCAGCAUCAUCUGAGUCCUCCCACUCUUGCUGAUGGUAGGAGGAUGAUGACUUCAGAGGAACUGAGUCAAAUCCAUCUGAUGUUCUCUGCCAACACAUUGAUAACGUCAUGAAGCAUGUUAACCAGUUCAGUGUGAACUUGAAAUGAGGGAGCUACUCACCUCACGUGAGAAGGACCGAAUUUUGGUAAAGAGGGAUUUCUUGGUGAGGUACAUAAGAUCAUCUUCUACAUCCUCUCCCUCCAUUAUUGCACAGCUGUCCGCUGUGGGCAACUCACACUCUUUGCCCCCGGAGCUCAUCAUCAACUUGGAAUACUUAUAUUGCAACCUACAGGUAUAACAUGACAGGAAUAGCAAACAUAAAAUAGCGUAUGGUCAUGAAAAUGAUAAAUAAA